UGUAACCAGGCAUCUGCCUCAGAUUUAGAAAAAUAGCUGCACUGUGGUUAAGAAUUCACCACAACGAUCAAGACAUCAGAUGUGGGUGUUACAUGUGGAGGGUGUCCUCAGGUCCAUGGUGAGACAGCUGAAUGCUUCUCUGGAGAAAUAUCCUCGUAAAAGUGGAAACAGCUCAGAGUGGCAUCCUCCAUCUUCUUUACACCACAGCAGGUCUCUCUCCAGUCAGCCAGCUGAUCCAUAGAUGUGGCUUUAGAUGUUCUUACACUAUUCGAAGGCAGAACUCAAGAGAAUUUAAAUAUUUCUGUCCCAAACAGACACUUUAAGUCAUUCCUGUUGAUUGAUGUUUACUCGUCUGGUAUAUAAAAUAGGGAUGUCACCAAAGAUUAGGCGCCUGCAGCACCAUGGCUUUUGUGUCAUGAGAACUAAAAAUGCAACAUAUAUUUGUUUGAACCCAGUUUCCUUCGCGAACCUGACUGCUUCAAUCACUCAUGCAAUGAUCGUUUCUCUUAAGCUGUUGUUUGACAUUCACGAGAGGAAAGUAAUUUCACACCAGAGUGUAUCAUUACUCAACUGUCCCAUAAGCAAUGAGAAAUCGUUUCCAAAUUGUAA